rnacentral:rRNA from 1 species
UACGUAGGGGGCAAGCGUUGUCCGGAUUUAUUGGGCGUAAAGAGCUCGUAGGCGGUUCGACAAGCCGACGGUGAAAUCUCCACGCUCAACGUGGAGGGGUCCGUCGGAACUGUCGUGACUAGAGUCCGGUAGGGGAGUGUGGAAUUCCUGGUGUAGCGGUGAAAUGCGCAGAUAUCAGGAGGAACACCAGCGGCGAAGGCGGCGCUCUGGGCCGGUACUGACACUGAGGUGCGAAAGCGUGGGGAGCAAACAGG